CCAAUAGCGUAUAUUAAAGUUGUUGCAGUUAAAACGCUCGUAGUUGAAUUUUGGAUUCUGCCAAUUGGUCCAUCUUUUAGAUGAGUACUGGUUGUGUGGGGUCUAUCCGCCUGGUGAUACGUAAUGUCCUUUAUUGGAUGUUGCGGGUAGUCAGGACCUUUACCUUGAAAAAAUUAGAGUGUUUAAAGCAGGCUUAUGCCGGAAUACAUUAGCAUGGAAUAAUAGAAUAGGACGAAGUUGUUUUAUUUUGUUGGUUUCUAGGACAACCGUAAUGAUUAAUAGGGAUAGUUGGGGGCAUUAGUAUUCAAUUGUCAGAGGUGAAAUUCCUGGAUUUAUUGAAGACUAACUACUGCGAAAGCAUUUGCCAAGGAUGUUUUCAUUAAUCAAGAACGAAAGUUAGGGGAUCGAAGACGAUCAGAUACCGUCGUAGUCUUAACCAUAAACUAUGCCGACUAGGGAUCGGGCGAUGUUGUUUCCAUGACUCGCUCGGCACCUUAUG
rnacentral:rRNA from 1 species